CCCUGGCCCCGCCUGUCCUCGCUUCUCAUGCUAAGUAAGUCCACGCCCUUUUGGGCAUGCGUGGUUUGCUGUGGUGGUCGUACGGGGGUCUCUUGGUGGUCCUGAGGCUGAAGAUUAUGGUCUUCCUCAUGAUUGAACUUUUGAACUUUUCCUCUCUGCGCGUGCGCUUUUGGUCCUUUGGUGCUUAUCUGAGUACGUCUGUCAGUCUUGAUAGGCUUGGAGACAGAGGAGCUUCUUUACCUGGGUUCUUUGCUUCUUCUGGUAUUGUUCUUUAUGCAAGAAGCUUCCGAAAUUUGCAUUUUCCUUUGCCCUUUGUAUUAGGCAGAGGUUUCUUAAGUAAAAGGUUGAAAAUUCAACAGAUAACUCUACAAGCUAAAUUAUAAAUGCUUAAUUCAUUUUGUUAACCUAACUCUAAAAAUCUCUGUUUCACCUCGAGAGCUGUCACAGAGCAGAAGGGCAGCUGAGAUGCUGAAAAGCAGCAAAGCUGAACAGCCUGCCUCAGCUUCAGCAGUGUGCAAUUGACUGAAGGCAAAACACGAAGCAGCAGAGCAGCGGGCUUCUCAGCUGCCACCGUGUUCUCUGCAUCUCGGAGCCUCUGGGGAGCAACAAGAAUUUCCAAGGUGGUGUAAGAGCCCGUCUGAAGCCCCUCAUUUUCCGUUCUGCCUUCCGAUUGCCACGAGAAAGAAUCCCUUCCUCCACUGCAGUUCCAGCUUAGAACAGGACACAGUGUAGGUGCAACCACUGAACUGUCAUGCUAGCUGUUCCGAACAAGGCCUGGCAAGAACUUGGCAAGGACUUGGCAAGGACUUGGCAAAGACCUGACGUGGACCCAGCACGGGACAGCCUGAUGCGCGGCCUGCUUCUAAUCUCCGUUCUUAAGCCAAAUGAACUUUUGGGGUGACUCCCGGGGUCCUUCAUUGAAGACCCCUCAUCUGCCUCAUUACCAGUGUGACAAACAAAGAAUGAGAACCCUCCUCCCAAGGACUGAGACUGAGACCCCUGCUAUAGGGAGGAGGGGAAAUUGGUGGUCUGACCACUAAUGACAUGACCUGUUUCCCUUCAGUGAUUCAAAUGGACUUAUUCUUCAUUGGAUUCGUCUUGCUUUGGUGGUUUCUGUGGACUCACCUGUUCCCGCGUGGCGAUUACAAUGGACUUUCGUUGUUACACUUGCUCCCCCCUCUUUCCUCUGUGGACUAUAACUGGAGCCCUGAGUCGACCAGAACUUCGGAGACUCCCCCGACACGACAGACGGAAACCCAUCGUCCGGACCACUGAGGAUCUCGCCUGUGUUGGUAGCUAUUCCCAUACCCCUCUUCUCUCUCUCUCUCUCCUUUUAUCUCCUUUCCGAUCCCCACUAUCGCAUUUACUGGUUUGGCCCCUAAUAAAGGUGCAUUUGUUGUGAUUAA